rnacentral:misc_RNA from 1 species
ACAAACUUGGUCAUUUAGAGGAAGUAAAAGUCGUAACAAGGUUUCCGUAGGUGAACCUGCGGAAGGAUCAUUACCAAUUGGCACCCUCCGGGGUGCCGGUACCUUCAACCCUUGAUCACUUAUCUCUGUUGCCUCGGCGGGUUCGCCCGCCAGAGGACACAAACCAAACCACUGUUGUAAACGGCGUGGUCUGAGCCUUAAAAAGCAAUUGUUUAAAACUUUCAACAACGGAUCUCUUGGUUCUGGCAUCGAUGAAGAACGCAGC